rnacentral:rRNA from 1 species
UACGUAGGGUGCAAGCGUUAAUCGGAAUUACUGGGCGUAAAGCGUGCGCAGGCGGUUUUGUAAGUUUGUCGUGAAAGCCCCGGGCUCAACCUGGGAAUUGCGAUGGAGACUGCAAGGCUUGAAUCUGGCAGAGGGGGGUAGAAUUCCACGUGUAGCAGUGAAAUGCGUAGAGAUGUGGAGGAACACCGAUGGCGAAGGCAGCCCCCUGGGUCAAGAUUGACGCUCAUGCACGAAAGCGUGGGGAUCAAACAGG